UGUAAAUUGAUCCUCCAUUUACUCUUUCACAGAGAAACGCCAACAGGUAAAUUAAUGCUUUGUAGCAGCAAUAUAAUAUAGUGCAGUAUAACUUGUAGCAUGUCUAACUAUAGGUGGCUUAACAUAUAUCUUUGCAAUCUUUAACUAUCACCUUCACAUUAACUUGCUAACAUAUUGACUGUAAUCACAAACCUUGCUCUAGUUACAGUAACAAACAAUCACUUGGUCAUGGGGUUAAUCUCAAUCAUAAAUGAUGAAAACUAUUUCAUGAAAAUGUCCAUAUAUCUUGGCAUUGCAGAUUAUGGGAAUGAUCAUAUCGAAGAAACUCCCAAACGAUUUGCCCAAACCCUUGCAAAGCAAGACAUACAAACACAUGACCUCAAAGACCAAUGCAAUCUUCUGAAAACAAUAGUGCAGAAAAAGUAUUAUGAUCGUAAAAUAUAUGUAUAUGUCAAAAUCUACUUUCAUUACAACUGUCAGUUUUAAAAAAAAAUUGAUUCUCUUUUCUAUUUAAAGGUAUAAAGACAAUCUGGCCUCCGUUGAUUGGAUAGAUGUGUGGAAUACUUUCUCCAAUAGAGGAGUUAAAGAUGUACUGCAUCUUAUUGACCUGUUGAGGACCUUACCAGCUACAUCUGUUCCUAACGAAUCUGCCUUCAACCAGAUGAAGCUUACAAAAACAAACCGCAGACAGCGGCUGUCCAAUGCCCAUCUAAAUGACUGCAUGAACGUUAAGGCAAACUCAGAGACUGUUGAGGCAUUUGAUCCUACUCCUGCCAUUGAUAACUGGAUGAUGGGUUCCAAAAGUCCCAAGAAGGUUAUACUACAGGAGAAAAAUCAAUGAGAAAGAAAAGAUAGACCACAGACAUGAAACAGAAGGAAUUGUACUAGACGUAGAUGUUGGAAGUAGAGGUAGAUGAAACUGUACUUUAGUUGGAAAGGGCAAUGGGGUACUGACUCUAGUCAAUCAGGCAACUGCAGAUGUUACUGAAGCUGAGACAAUCAGUGAAGGGGACACGGAGAGUGAAUUUGAAGAGGAACCUGAGAGUGAAACAGACAGUGAAUUAGAGCAGAAUGAGGAAACAAAUGAAUUAUUGAUGACACAUAUCAUUCAUGAAAUUGAAACUGAAUGGCUUCUAAGAUUUUUACAUUUUAUUCCUACAUACAGUGAAGAAUUUAAUUGAUGCAUGUUAAUUAAAAAUGCAUU